GUCCUACACACCUCACAGGGCCACUGGGAGGGACAAAUGACACAUUCUGUGUGAAAGCGCCUCACAAAGGGAAAGCAUGUUCUCAUCACCCCUUUAUUCAAAUCCGCAUGGCGGGCCUCCCUGGGCCGGCCUCCGCUCCCUGCUAUGGAAUCACAGUAGUGAGCAGACGGACAAAGGCGGUGACCUCUGGGCAUGUGGCUAGCAGGAGACACAGACAACACAGAGAGAGAAAAAAAUACGUUCGGCGGUGCCAAGAGGUAUGAGGAGAAGCAGACCAGGGUAAGGCAAGGGAUGGCUAGCUGGUGAGAUACAAUCUCACGCAGAAUCGAUGGGGAAGACCUCUCUUGGGAGAGAACAUUCGAAAGGACCCCUAAAUGAAGAGAGAGGCCAACCAGGGGGCUUUCUGGGCGCGGGGAACCGUACUGCAAACGGCUGAGGCAGAUAAACAGGCAGGGAAGAGCAGGCAGGCUGAAGGUGAAGGAGUAAGGAGAAAUGGAAUGAGGUCAGGAAGCCACGAGGGACAAGACCCCCGACCAGGGAAAACCUUGGGACUGUCCUCCUGCUAGACAGGAAGUAGCGGGGGAACAGAUGGGCGGAGUGACACGGCAAAGGAAGAGCUCGGGCUGAUGGCGAGAGCAGCAUCACUGCUCCAUCGCUCCGGGCAGCUCCCGGCAUCCGUGAGUCCAGCACAAACAGUUCACACCGACCGCACCACGGCCCUCCUCAGGCCUUCGACUUCUCUGUUUAUUCGCUUUUCAUCUGCAGAGUAACUGCUGAGCACAGAGGCCAGGGAACAGGGAAGUUUGUUGACGUGCCACCACCUCGCACCAGGUUAUUCCCCCUGCCCUGCUGAUUUGCAUGAGAUAACAGCAGGAAGUAAUUCCACGCAACAGAACAGCAGAAACCAAGAGAUGUCAGAGCCAGGGCAUCCCAAAGCAGGAAGUGACAAGGGUUAGAGGUAAGAUAGUAAAGCAAAAAGAGAGCCGGGAUUAAUCAGGGCACAGGCGUGACUUAACCAAAUGUGGUCCUCCACGUUCCUGCCGAGGAACACUCAAUGCAAAACUAUUUGCAUGCUGCCGCUGCAUCUGGUCUCUGCGAACACUGCAAGGGGGCUCGUCAUCCAAAGGCAAAAAGUAUGUGCUGGAUCAGCUUCUUGCCGCAAGCACGAGCUCCCUGGUGUGAGGUCCGAGGGUGGCAGUAAAUGGGCCGGCACAGUGCCGGCUGCUCGGCUCGAGGUUACUCGCCUGGGAGGGCUCUCACCUUCCAGGAGAGGAGUAGGCACUGUUGCUUCACUCGGGCCGUGUGCUUGGCCGUGGAGGGGCCAGAUUCUAGGCUAUGAAGUGCUCUCCUCACCACUGGACCUUCAGAGUGUGUCCCAGAAAGGUUGGCAGAGGAAUCGACUUGGCUAAGAAGGAUAGUGAUGUCUGACAGCCGGUUCCCAUUCACCCUCAGAAGGAACCAACCCUGCUGACACCUUGAUUUCCCAUUUCCAGCCUGCAGAGCUGUGAGACGGUAAAUUUCUGUUCUUUAAGCCACCCAGGGUGUGGUUGGUUACGGCAGCCCCGGGAAAUGAACACGAUCACCAAUAACAGGGUGCGCUCCACGCCGGGUCUUCGCCAAUGGUUGAGCUUCCCCGGGCGCUCCUGAUGCCCUGUGGAGGAUGCUCAUGGAAGUGGAGGUGUGAACAACUGCCACGUGGCUUUGAAAGGCGCUGGGCUCUCUCAGCUCACGGCUCUGCCUUGAGGGCUGUGAACACGCCCUCCGCUGGGAUUCUCACUGCUCACCCAAAGACUUCACAUGAAUUAUCUCAUUUCAUCCUCGUGAAAAUAAUGGGUGCUGUGGUUUCCUGCAUUUUAUAGGAAAGUUGCGAAGUUGGUACAGCAAGUUCCCACAUACUGCACGCCCCAUUAGCAAUGGUCAGUGCUGAGACAUCUGUGGGUAAAUAUUUGAUAAAUAGCUUUUAAUGCACUGAGGAUCUAAGAGUCAGCUGCCCAUAGACACAGUCCCUGCGAGAGCAGCCUUUCAUUGAGGAUGAAGGAAGGGAAGUCCCUGGCAUAUCUCCCUUCGUCGCCGGAAAGAGCAGUCAGGAGGCCUCAAUGCUGAACUUGACCAUGGGGUUAUAUGCCAUGCCUUCUUCUGCACCUACAUUCCUUUCAACUCAGCCAUGCCUUGUGGUUUCUGAGAUAAUACACGUUAGAGGAACAAAAAUUACUAUUAACUGCCAAGCCAUCACUUAAUGUUUAAUUGUGUAGCCCAGCUGAAAACCACAUUUUCUCCAUUUCAUUAUUUACUUGCCUUCUCGCUCUUAGGCAGCCAUUUUCACAAAUUCAAGCAAUCUUGCUGCCACACCCAGAGUGGCAUUUUUCUCGACAAAAAAAAAAAAAAAAAUACUGUUAAAGAGCCUGAAUUCAUUUAGAAGAUAUCAAACUUCUCCAGCAGGAUCUGGCUCCCCUCCAUCCACGGGAGGACAAAGCAUCCUGUCCCUCUUCUUUGCCAGUGUGUGAUGGGACCAAAGCGGACUUAGGAUGUGUCUGUAUUCUCCUGCUGACCUCUUUAGCCCAGAUUUAGCCUGGAGCAGUGGCCUUGGGACUAGAGCAGGCAUUCAAAUCACCUAGAGGGUUUGUUAAAACUCAGGCCGAUAAUACCCAUUGCCCUGGUGUCUUAUUCAAUAGGUCUGGGGCGGCACCCAAGAAUUUGCAUUUCUAACAAGUUCCCAGGUGAUAAGAUGCUGUUGGUCCUGGUCACUCUUGGAGAACCAACUCCUUAGAGGACUAUCUUUCAUUCAUCCAAACCUGCGCCAUCUCUCGGACUCGCCUUCACUGCUCAGAUGGGAGACAAAGCCGAACCGAAGAGCUUGGGAAGGUUGAGCUGAGGGCUGAGGAAGGAGAGCCAAGGUGCCUCGACACUUUGACACUGGGCACACAUCACCUGCCACUCCGGCAAUGGCUCACCACUAUGGAAAUACAGGCUUUUGGAGAUGAAACAGAGCAUAGUGGUCAAAACUCCUUCAUUGUAAAAGGAAGGAGGUGAGCCCAGUGGGUGGAAGCAACUCUCACACAGCAGACCAGGGCAGAGUCAUGGUGACCUGUACCCGCUGGCUCUUCCCACAGUAGCAGAGCUAUCCGUCCUUGUUCAGGGCAGCCAGGUGCCUCCUGCGCUCAGAGGCGAGGGGAGCAGAAUCGAGCCCAUUACUGGAAUGACAAUAUUUGAAUUGUCAUCUCAAAGAGAAAGAAAGAAUAGCUUCUCCCUCCAUCCACCCUCUCUAGACACACACACACACCCGGGAUUCACGAGGACCAGUGCUCCAGAGACAGAGAGUGCGAAAUGAGCAAGUGAGGAGGGUGAAAGACCCUUGUUUUCACAGCAACACUUGUCAGAGCAAUAAUUCGUGUUUGACAACCCAGGAUAAAGAACAUCAAGCACCUAAAAGACGAGACUGCUGACGUUCCCAGGGGGCCGGAAAGCCAGAGUUGAUGCCUUCAGUUCUCCCCCCAAAUGACAGAACUCCAGCCAUCUAGUCCUUCUUAUUUCCCUGGAAACUGCUCAUCGGAGUAAUUCACUGUCUUUGUUUAAGAUGAGCAAGUUCCCAAAAGGGUGUUUUAGAACCCGGAUCUCUGAGCACCCUGCAAGGAGAGGUGUGAGACAGCAAAGGAAGGAGUCAGGGGAGACGAGGUUUUGUCUGCUUUUCUUUAGGUUUUAAACAUUAUUAGAUGAUUUCCUUGAAUUUCUAAUAAGCAGGUGGAAGUUUAAAUUACAAGAUCUCUAACAGAGUCAGAAUCCAAAUGGCGCAGGAGCCGGCAGACAACAAUUGCCUUGGCCGGAUGGGUUUCAGGUUUGUUCUUUGCAAAGACAAAGCUCCCAUUGAGUGGUGGAGAGGAGGGAGCGCCCGUGGAGGGUUUUCAUUACCCUGAUCAUCAUCCCCACGGCAGGGAAGGACGUGGAAGAAAGAAAGCAUAGCCCGACCUGGCCAGCAUGCGGCUGAGGAUGACAGUCUGGAAUGAAAACACACACCUGAUAUUUGUGGCUCCUCUGGAGCAGGAUGGGGACAUAAGACAAAGAUGAGGAAAGCAGGAAGCAAGCCCAGCUAUGCAAGCUCAUGUAUUCUGCAAAAAUAAAAAUGCACAAACAUCAGAGCCUAGAAUGGGUUCACGGUAGCAAACAACUACGCCGUGAUUUGUGCUGGAGAGAAGUCUUGCUGAGGGAUAAUGGGAGAUUCGGUUCACACUCCCUUCAUCUUGUUUAUUAAGAAUUUGCAAAAGCUUUAAGCCAGAAAAGUUCAGUAUAG
rnacentral:lncRNA from 1 species